rnacentral:rRNA from 1 species
CUCGGAGUUUGAUCCUGGCUCAGGAUGAACGCUAGCGGCAGGCCUAAUACAUGCAAGUCGAGGGGUAUAGUUCUUCGGAACUAGAGACCGGCGCACGGGUGCGUAACGCGUAUGCAAUCUACCUUUUACAGAGGGAUAGCCCAGAGAAAUUUGGAUUAAUACCUCAUAGUAUGUGAGAAUCGCAUGGUUUUCACAUUAAAGUCACAACGGUAAAAGAUGAGGAUGCGUCCCAUUAGCUAGAUGGUAAGGUAACCGGCUUACCAUGGCGACGAUGGGUAGGGGUCCUGAGAGGGAGAUCCCCCGACACUGGUACUGAGACACGGGACCAGACUCCUACGGGGAGGCAGCAGUGAGGAAUAUUGGACAAUGGGGCGCAAGCCUGAUCCCAGCCCAUGCCGCGUCCAGGAA